rnacentral:rRNA from 1 species
AUGCCCCUCUGUGGGGGAUAGCCGCUUGAAAAAGCGAUUAAUACCCCAUAGGAAGCUUUAUCUAUGAUUUAGCUUUUAAGGUCUUCGGGCGCUGAGGGAUUGGGAUAUGCUCUAUUAGCUAGUUGGCGGGAUAAAAGCCCACCAAGGCAAUGAUAGAUAGCUGGUCUUAGAGGAUGAACAGCCACAAUAGGAUUGAGAUACGGCCCAUAUUCCUACGGGAAGCAGCAGUAGGGAAUCUUCCACAAUGGACGAAAGUCUGAUGGAGCAAUACCAU